rnacentral:rRNA from 1 species
GAUGAACGCUAGCGGGAGGCUUAACACAUGCAAGCCGAGCGGUAGAGUCUCUUCGGAAACUUGAGAGCGGCGCACGGGUGCGUAACACGUGUGCAACCUACCUUUAUCUGGGGGAUAGCCAUUCGAAAGGAAGAUUAAUACCCCAUAAUAUAAUGAUUGGCAUCAAUUAUUAUUGAAAACUCCGGUGGAUAGAGAUGGGCACGCGCAAGAUUAGCUAGUUGGUGAGGUAACGGCUCACGAAGUCAAUGAUCUAUAGGGGUCCUGAGAGGGAGAUCCCCCACAGUGGUACUGAGCCACGGGCCAGAGACCUACGGGAGGCAGCAGUGAGGAAGAUAGGACAGUGGGUGAGAGCAUGAUCCAGCCAACCCGCAUGAAGGAUGGCGGCGCGCUGGAUUAUAAACUUCUUUUGGUCAGGGAUAAACCUACCCUCGUGAGGGUAGGUGAAGGUAAUGUGCGAAGAAGCACCGGCUAACUCCGUG